GAUGGACGCUGGCGGCGUGCCUAAUACAUGCAAGUCGAGCGAACAGACGGGAGCUUGCUCCUCUGACGUUAGCGGCGGACGGGUGAGUAACACGUGGAUAACCUACCUAUAAGACUGGGAUAACUUCGGGAAACCGGAGCUAAUACCGGAUAAUAUAUUGAACCGCAUGGUUCAAUAGUGAAAGACGGUUUUGCUGUCACUUAUAGAUGGAUCCGCGCCGCAUUAGCUAGUUGGUAAGGUAACGGCUUACCAAGGCGACGAUGCGUAGCCGACCUGAGAGGGUGAUCGGCCACACUGGAACUGAGACACGGUCCAGACUCCUACGGGAGGCAGUAGUAGGGAAUCUUCCGCAAUGGGCGAAAGCCUGACGGAGCAACGCCGCGUGAGUGAUGAAGGUCUUCGGAUCGUAAAACUCUGUUAUUAGGGAAGAACAAAUGUGUAAGUAACUAUGCACGUCUUGACGGUACCUAAUCAGAAAGCCACGGCUAACUACGUG
rnacentral:rRNA from 1 species